AUUGAACGCUGGCGGCAUGCCUUACACAUGCAAGUCGAACGGUAACAGGUUAAGCUGACGAGUGGCGAACGGGUGAGUAAUGUAUCGGAACGUGCCCAGUCGUGGGGGAUAACUGCUCGAAAGAGCAGCUAAUACCGCAUACGUCCUGAGGGUGAAAGCGGGGGAUCGCAAGACCUCGCGCGAUUGGAGCGGCCGAUAUCAGAUUAGGUAGUUGGUGAGGUAAAGGCUCACCAAGCCGACGAUCUGUAGCUGGUCUGAGAGGACGACCAGCCACACUGGGACUGAGACACGGCCCAGACUCCUACGGGAGGCAGCAGUGGGGAAUUUUGGACAAUGGGCGCAAGCCUGAUCCAGCCAUGCCGCGUGCGGGAAGAAGGCCUUCGGGUUGUAAACCGCUUUUGUCAGGGAAGAAAAGGUUCUGGCUAAUACCUGGGACUCAUGACGGUACCUGAAGAAUAAGCACCGGCUAACUACGUG
rnacentral:rRNA from 1 species